rnacentral:rRNA from 1 species
UACGAAGGGUGCAAGCGUUGUUCGGAUUUACUGGGCGUAAAGGGCGCGUAGGCGGCAUAUUAAGUCAUCUGUGAAAUCUCCGAGCUUAACUCGGAACUGUCAGCUGAUACUGAUGUGCUAGAGUGCGGAAGGGGCAAUCGGAAUUCUUGGUGUAGCGGUGAAAUGCGUAGAUAUCAAGAGGAACACCUGAGGUGAAGACGGGUUGCUGGGCCGACACUGACGCUGAGUGCGCGAAAGCCAGGGGAGCAAACGGG